rnacentral:rRNA from 1 species
UAGGGAAUCUUCCGCAAUGGGCGAAAGCCUGACGGAGCAACGCCACGUGAGUGAUGAAGGUCUUCGGAUCGUAAAACUCUGUUAUUAGGGAAGAACAAAUGUGUAAGUAACUAUGCACGUCUUGACGGUACCUAAUCAGAAAGCCACGGCUAACUACGUGCCAGCAGCCGCGGUAAUACGUAGGUGGCAAGCGUUAUCCGGAAUUAUUGGGCGUAAAGCGCGCGUAGGCGGUUUUUUAAGUCUGAUGUGAAAGCCCACGGCACAACCGUGGAGGGUCAUUGGAAACUGGAAAACUUGAGUGCAGAAGAGGAAAGUGGAAUUCCAUGUGUAGCGGUGAAAUGCGCAGAGAUAUGGAGGAACACCAGUGGCGAAGGCGACUUUCUGGUCUGUAACUGACGCUGAUGUGCGAAAGCGUGGGGAUCAAACAGG